rnacentral:rRNA from 1 species
GAUGAACGCUGGCGGCGUGCCUAAUACAUGCAAGUCGAACGAAGAUCUAGCUUGCUAGAUCUUAGUGGCGAACGGGUGAGUAAUACAUAAAUAAUCUGCCCAUAUGACUGGGAUAACUAUUGGAAACGAUAGCUAAUACCGGAUAGGUUGAUUGGAGGCAUCUCUGAUUAAUUAAAGUAGGAUUUCUACACAAAUGGAUGAGUUUAUGGCGCAUUAGUUAGUUGGUGGGGUAACGGCCUACCAAGACGAUGAUGCGUAGCCGACCUGAGAGGGUGACCGGCCACACUGGGACUGAGACACGGCCCAGACUCCUACGGGAGGCAGCAGUAGGGAAUUUUCGGCAAUGGGCGCAAGCCUGACCGAGCAACGCCGCGUGAGUGAUUAAGGCCUUCGGGUUGUAAAGCUCUGUUGUAAGGGAAGAACAUUCAGGAUAGGAAAUGAUCCUGAACUGACUGUACCUUACCAGAAAGCCACGGCUAACUACGUGCCAGCCGCCGCAGUAAAAC